rnacentral:rRNA from 1 species
GAUGAACGCUGGCGGCGUGCCUAAUACAUGCAAGUCGAGCGAACAGACGAGGAGCUUGCUCCUCUGACGUUAGCGGCGGACGGGUGAGUAACACGUGUAUAACCUACCUAUAAGACUGGGAUAACUUCGGGAAACCGGAGCUAAUACCGGAUAAUAUAUUGAACCGCAUGGUUCAAUAGUGAAAGACGGUUUUGCUGUCACUUAUAGAUGGAUCCGCGCCGCAUUAGCGAGUUGGUAAGGUAACGGCUUAUCAAGGCAACGAUGCGUAGCCGACGGGCGAGGGUGAUCGGCCACACGGGAAGUGAGACACGGUCCAGAGUCCUACGGGAGGCAGCAGUAGGGAAUCUUCCGCAGUGGGCGAAAGCCUGGCGGAGCAACGCCGAGUGAGUGAUGAAGGUGUUCGGAGCGUAAAAAUCUGUUAUUAGGGAAGAACAAAUGUGUAGGUAACUAUGCACGGCUUGACGGUACCCAAUCAGAAAGCCACGGCUAACUACGUG